ensembl:lncRNA
AAGGAAAUGCAUCCCGUGCUGUCCCUUUAAAUGGGUCUGACUUACCUGUGCCCCACAGAGGGCAAGGAAAGCACACAACUGGCAGCAACAUACCUCAAGAUUUUCCUGAAAGACCUAAACCACAAAGGAACUAAUUUCCUCAUAUCCAGGAAGGCUAAGCUCUCUUAUGGCCGCAAUUAAAAUCCAUCUGUGUUCCUCUAUUAAUGUGGAUCCAGUGUGUAGGUAAGAACUUGGCAGAGUGACAGAGGAUAUCUUUGUCUAGGGGCAAAAGUAAUUUAUUAAGAUGUGAAGGGAGAUGGACAGAUGUCCCUUGAAUUAAUGAUAAGAAAGCUGUCUUGGGGUUAUAUCAGUAGUAGUAUUUUAAAUGUGCUGGUUGGGAUGAUUUCUGAUGUUUCAGAGGACGACCUUUGAAUUCAGCCUCAAAUCCUGAGGCCAAAAGUUUCAAGGACUUCUGAGAUUCAUGCCUGGGUUGAAUUAUCUCUCCCUAGUUGUGAACUUUGGCAAAGUUACAGAACUGCUACUGCCCUGCCAGAAAGUUGGCCAUUCCUGUAGAGACUGAUAAAUCAUUCUUGAUCUGGCCAGAAUUCUCAUCACACUUUACUCAUUGAUCCACGGAAAGCAAAUUAAUAGCACAAGUAGGAAGGUAAGGCAUAUGAUGCGAGUUAUUUGCCAAGUGGGCCACUGCUCUGGCAUGCAUUUGGUGAUACAUGUCGGUACUGGACAUGCUUUCAGCAUUUAGAUCUGACCCAUUAAUCCAAUAGCUGGGACAUCAAGCAACACACUCUUUGGGGCCACCCUCUACAUUGAAUCAUCGCAGUUUGGUCACCUUCUCCUGGAAUCUCUCAGUAAGCCCUUAAAUAGGAUGAUGUAAUUUUAUAUCUAAUCCACUAAACACAAUUUCCAUAGGACACAUUUCACAUAAUACAGAUAAGUCAGAUAUUUUACUGCCUGAAUAUGGCUCAAUGGAGAUGAAACUCUUUUUAAGCAGGAUUUUAAAAUUUUAGGACAUAUUAGCAAAAAUCGUGCUAAGGAUGAGAGUACCCACAUUAACUAGAAUGAAGAGGAAAAAUAAUCAGAAAACCAGACUUAUGAGAUGGCAAAUUAGGCAGCAUCUGUUCAUCUUGGCAGGACUCCUUGAAAUAACUUUACACUAUCCAAGGCUGGCACUUGGCACAGCCAAAGAGGCUCAUUGAUUGAACGAGCCUGAAUCUCCAGCUAGAUCUGGAUAACAAACCUCUUCUGUCUCCAGGCUGGACUUCCAACUUCUCUGAUUAUUUUCCAGGGCAUUCAUGGCACGUUGUAAGUCUUCAAUAAAUGCUUGAUGAAUGAAUGAAUGAAUGCUUUCGUAACAUCAUCAUCAUUUCCCAAACAUCAAGCUGAAAUUCAAUUGGCAAUCCCUGACACAAGAAAUGCACAGGAGAAUGGAGAGACACAUAGAUUUAAGGAAAAGAUGUCAACUGGGGAGGCGGAUAGUCAGGACUGCCAGUGUGUCAGUGCCUCCUGUCCCUGACUAUCCCCGGUACAGUCAUCACCCCCGACAAUGUGAAGGCAACUGCCCUACAACUCACAGAAGAAGAAGAAGAAGAAAGAAUGGCCAAUAAACGUGUGAAAAUAUAUCAAAUUCAUUAGUAAUCGGGCAAAUAAAACAUCAGUGACGUACCAUUUCAUAUCCAUCAGAUUGGCAAAAAUUUUGAAGUCUGAUGACACUAAGUAGGGGAAACAAGAACUUUCAGCCCCUGCUGGGGGACGUGUAAAUUAAUAGAACCACAUCAGAGAGCAACUUGUCAAUCUUGAAUGAAGUGGAAGAUUUAUGAUAUUCUAUGACCCAGAAAUUCUGCCUCUACGUAUAUCCCUAGAGAAACUCUCCCACAUGUAUUUCAAGGAUGUUAUUUGAAGUGUUGUGUUAUAAUAGGGAAAAAUUAGAAACAUAGGUGUACAUUAAUAAGAGAAUGGAUAAAUAAAUUCACAUAUAUUCAAACGAUGCCAUACUGUGUAGCAGUGAAGUCAAUAAACUUGAUAUAUCAACAUAGAUAGAUUCCAAAAACAAAAUGUUCAGCGAGAAAAGCAAGUUGGGGAUGAGAUGCCAUAUAGUAUGACAAC